rnacentral:snRNA from 1 species
UUACUUCAGCAGCAGAUAUACUAAAAAUUGGAAUGAUAUAAUAAUUAGCAUGACUCCUGCACAAGGAUGACAUCCAGUUUUGUGAAAAAUCAGAUUCAGAG